AUCCCAUGAUGUGGACACUUAUGAAGUAACUCCUUGAAUCACUCCUAAGCCUCAUACGACUCGACAUCCAAUUGUUGGAAAGUUGUGAUCUCGUUCCUCAACUU
rfam:Gossypium hirsutum cultivar TM-1 chromosome 17, whole genome shotgun sequence